GGGAGCAACAGAAAUACGACGUUAGGACACAAUGAGCUCUGCCUGUUCGGCUGGUGAACAGAUGCGCGUCAAAACCAUCGAGGUUAUACUUCAGCAUGGGUUGACACACAUUAAUCCUCUCAAAUCACGUUACAUCACUGCCAUGACAUUUACAAGAAACGGUGCUAAAACUAGCUUUCACUUUCAAAUGCCUUUCACUGAACUUGGUCAAUGAAACAAAGCAGUUGGGAAACAAAGCAGAUCACUGUAGACUCAGGCACGGGAAUUGGGGGGGCAUGAGGCGGGUGUGGCGUUUGUCGACGGAUACAUACCUACAAACACGUCCACAAUUGAGAACUAAGAGGUUUGUUUCACUUUUUUGUGACAGGUCUUGCCGAUAAGAGAGUGUGGAGCAAUAACUCUGCUGGCAACCUCCCCAGGCAGCCGUCUGCCAAUAAAGUUAGGAAACAGUAUUUCCCCUGAGAUGGUCCCAGACUCCUGGCCAAUGUUUGGUUUGACAAACUGUUGCAAGAUCCCCGCAUUUCAAGUACAUCGGAUGAAUAAGUUAAGGAUAAAUAAUGUAAGCAUGUGCAUUGUUUAGAGGGCGACGCCUCCUGCAUCAGACAGAGACUAUCUGGUUAUUGUGUCUGGAUGCUUCAGCAAGGCCAGUGUUACAUCUUGCAGGAACACAAUGAAAUGUACUUGCACUAAAAUUUACCAGAUUCUUUUUCUGACCUUGGUUCAUUUCUGCACCAUCUUUAAAGGAACUAAUUUGAACAGUUUGAAGAGUCAUAAUGUUGAUAAGAUGGGAAACGCUCAAUUAAAACUUGGACUUUAAUAUUUUGUAGUUGUCUGCUAAAUGUUUUCAUGAAAUGAAAAAAGUCUUCUAUGGCAUUGGGUUUUUGGUGGCGCACUUAAAAAAGCUGUAAAACACUGAAAAUUUGAGUUAUUAUUGUAUUUAUAAAAUAAAGUACAUUUUCUUUAAAGGCUUUUAAAGUCUUGGUUGUACUGUGAAUCCAAGCGAAAGAUUCAUUAUUUUGUCUGCUGCUCCUGUUUUUAGGUUUUAAAUCGUUAGAAAAAUUGUUGUAGUUAAAAGAAAUCUUUUGAAAUUGACAUUGAAAUAAAUCUGUUUCUUACUUUGUGAUUUUGUUGGACUUUUAGAAGAUUGUACAAUGAGGUCAUAAAUGUAUAUCUAAAGAGCUAGGAGGAUAGAGGAGGAAUGAUAAUCAAAAAUCUAAAAUGAUGCUUUCUUCAUUUAGGGGAGCAGGAACUAAAAUCAAAAGAACUAAAAUAUUAGCCACCAACUUUUUUGGCCAAUAUAGAUUUUUGUUUUUCUUUGAAAUUUGACAUCCCGAAUCCAAUGUUUUUUGGGGUUUUUUUCCUAUGGAUUUUAAGAAAUAAAAGAGACAAAAACCAUAGCAGUAGCCCUUUUGAAUCUAACCGAAAAUGGAAGAGAUACAACAUGAUCUGACUUUUCUGAUUUGUUAUUAAAACUCAAAAAAACAUGCAUCCAAUUAUAUGACACAGGUUUGUUGUUGUACAAACCAAAAAUGGUGGGAGUUCUUAUUAUUUUUUAUUCACUUAAUUAGGUCACCUCCAGGUGGAUCGUUACGAACAUACAUCUAAAUGGCGACGCCCACCGUUCAAGGUUAUUCACAAUGAGAUUUCUGACAAACACAUAGGCAAAGUCAGACUCCAGUUUGAACUAACUGCGCAAACAUGGGGCGUAGAGCAGCAGUUAGUUCAAACUGCAGUCUGAA